GUAUUGAUGGGAUGUAUUUCAAAAUAAUAAGAGCUAUCUAUGACAAACCCACAGCCAAUAUCAUACUGAAUGGGCAAAAACUGGAAGCAUUCCCUUUGAAAACUGGCACAAGACAGGGAUGCCAUCUCUCACCACUCCUAUUCAACAUAGUGUUGGAAGUUCUGGUCAGGGCAAUUAGGCAGGAGAAGGAAAUAAAGGGUAUUCAAUUAGGAAAAGAGGAAAUCAAAUUGUCCCCGUUUGCAGAUGACAUGAUUGUAUAUCUAGAAAACCCCAUUGUCUCAGCCCAAAAUCUCCUUCAGCUUAUAAGCAACUUCAGCAAAGUCUCAGGAUACAAAAUCAAUGUACAAAAAUCACAAGCAUUCUUAUACACCAACAACAGACAGAGAGCCAAAUCAUGAGUGAACUCCCAUUCACAGUUGCUUCAAAAAGAAUAAAAUACCUAGGAAUCCAACUUACAAGAGAUGUGAAGGACCUCUUCAAGGAGAACUACAAACCACUGCUCAAGGAAAUAAAAGAGGAUACAAAGAAAUGGAAGAACAUUCCAUGCUCAUGGGUAGGAAGAAUCAAUAUCGUGAAAAUGGCCGUACUGCCCAAGGUAAUUUACAGAUUCAAUGCCAUCCCCAUCAAACUACCAAUGCCUUUCUUCACAGAAUUGGAAAAAGCUACUUUAAAGUUCAUAUAGAACCAAAAAAGAGCCUGCAUCGCCAAGUCAAUCCUAAGUCAAAAGAACAAAGCUGGAGGCAUCACACUACCUGACUUCAAACUAUACUACAAGGCUACAGUAACCAAUACAGCAUGGUACUGGUACCAAAACAGAGAUAUAGAUCAAUGGAACAGAACAGAGCCCUCAGAAAUAACGCCGCAUAUCUACAGCUAUCUGAUCUUUGACAAACCUGAGAAAAACAAGCAAUGGGGAAAGGAUUCCCUAUUUAAUAAAUGGUGCUGGGAAAACUGGCUAGCCAUAUGUAGAAAGCGAAACUGGAUCCCUUCCUUACACCUUAUACAAAAAUCAAUUCAAGAUGGAUUAAAGACUUAAACGUUAGACCUAAAACCAUAAAAACCCUAGAAGAAAACCUAGGCAUUACCAUUCAAGAAAUAGGCAUGGGCAAGGACUUCAUGUCUAAAACACCAAAAGCAACAGCAACAAAAGCCAAAAUUGACAAAUGGGAUCUAAUUAAACUCAAGAGCUUCUGCACAGCAAAAGAAACUACCAUCAGAGUGAACAGGCAACCCAGAAAAUGGGAGAAAAUUUUCGCAACCUACUCAUCUGACAAAGGGCUAAUAUCCAGAAUCUACAAUGAACUCAAACAAAUUUACAAGAAAAAAACAAACAACCCCAUCAAAAAGUGGGCAAAGGACAUGAACAAACACUUCUCAAAAGAAGACAUUUGUGCAGCCAAAAAACCCAUGAAAAAAUGCUCACCAUCACUGGCCAUCAGAGAAAUGCAAAUCAAAACCACAAUGAGAUAUCAUCUCACACCAGUUA
rnacentral:lncRNA from 1 species